CAACUAAUUUAUUAUUUUUUUAGUAGAGACGGGGUUUCACCAUGUUGACCAGGAUGGUCUCGAUCUCUUGACCUCGUGAUCCACAUGCCUUGGCCUCCCAAAGUGCUGGGAUGACAGGCGUGAGCCACGGUGCCCAUCCUAGUUGGGUACUUUAUAUAUAUAAAAUAAUGGCUAACAUUUAUUGAUCACUUGCUACAUGUCAAGUACUGUUCUAAGUUCCAUAUUCAGAAGUAUAGAGUUUAAUUUUCCAUUUUCCUAAAGUUGAACUCAGAAUAAAAAUCCAGAUUCCUCACCAUAGCCUGCCCAGCCUUCAUCUUCUAGCACUCAUUCUUUCCUUGCUCACUCUGCUCCAGCCCCACUGGCUUGCUUUUGGUAUCUUAAUGACAGUAAGCUCCUUGCUUCCUUGACCUUCUCAUUCUUUAAGUUUCAGCUCAUAUAUCUGCUUAAAGAGACAUUCUCUGGCCAACCUAUUAAUGUCUGUUCCAACACCCAGCACCUUAUAGUGCUUAUAAUUUGUCAUUCUGUUUCUGACUUCUACUUCUGAUCUAUCUCUCCAGUAGACUGUGAAUUCCAUGAAGACAAGGACCAUGUACAUUGCAUUCACCACGUUAAUCCCAGUGCCAACCAGAUGACCUGGAAACUGUUUGCUGAAUAAAUUGAUAAGUGGAUGGACAGGUUCUAUUUCCAAAUUUCAUUGACUCUCUUCUUUGCUUCCCUUCCAGGCACACACACACAAAAAUGACUUAUCUAAGGCUUGACAUCACGAAGACUCUACUCAUGAUUAAGGCUCACUCCUUUCCCCAGGAAGUAGAGAACAGAUUUCUUUUCAUUCAUUCAGGAAAUACUUAUUGAACCUCAAUGGCUAGGUACUUGGUGAACAAAGAUAAAUCGCAUACAGUUCCCUUGGGAGUUACUCAAAAUAAAUGGAGAAAGAGAAAAUCUGUGUCUGUGGGUGUCUGUUUUUAAACACAAAUCCACACUAGUUAGUGUAUGAGAUGGGGAGACAUAUGAGUCGACAGCCACCUACUUGAGAAUCCCUGUUCAAAAAUAGCUUCCCUGUGGACUUGUCCCCAGUGCCUACAAUUCCAUCAAGAGAGUUUAUUCUGUAGGGGAGGAAAGGUGGGUGAUGUGAUAGACAAAUUAUUUGCUAGCAUGGUAACUCCUCAGUUCAGAGGCAGUGUUAAUCACAAAGCAGAAAUGAAAAUCUUGCACAAUCACAAAUGGGUGCCCAGGACUGUAUGUUAUUAGUUGAUCCCGUGAUCUUCUUGGCUUGAACACACACGAUCUUCAUGAUACUGGGCUUUUAUCAUUUGGAAUGCAUAAACCAAAUCCUAAAUGAGGUUUUCCAUUUAUCAGUCACAACAUGCAACAUUUUUCUUCCUUAUUAAGAAUGGUAUUAACAGAGUUUAUGAGAGAGAAAUAAAAUCUGAUUUUCAAGUUGUCAAAAAACAUCGUGAUAUAAUGCCAUCAGUUUAGCCAGGAAACAAAAGGGCCAAUAUAAACUAUUAUAGAAACUCCCACAGCUGUAAGCAGCUGUGGUUCCUGAAAGGCAACUCCUUCUUUAUCAUUUUUUCCAUCUGGUUUAUUUCUUUUCCUCACUUUAAUUGUGCAUGCAUUCUAGCACACAAAUAAUCACCUUUUUUGGUCCACAGGCACAACUGUACCCACGUACCCACAGUUUUAUUCUAUUCAAUCUCCUUGGUAGAGAAUGCAAGAAUUUUAUAAUAAAAUGAGGGCUCUUUAGACUUAAUUCUCUCUUUUCCCAAUAUAUUCGCAUCGUGAGUUUCAUUUGAUUGCACAGCCAUGAACUCCAUGCUGGUGACCUUCAGUGGAAGGAUUCGGAGGCAGCAGGAGGCCGACUUCUCCAGGGGCGGGCAAAAGCACUAAGGCUUAUUAAGAUAUUUUAUCCGGAAGGCAAUUCAAAGAAUGUGAUUGGACGAUCCUGUGGUAGAAAUCAUUCACCAGCAAGGGGAAAACACAGAUGAAAAUCAACUGCCAAGUACUGAGGAAAGAGAAAUUAUCAUAAUGUGGGCUGCUUUGUGUGUGCUUGGAAUACAUGAUGAAAUAAAUCUGAUUAUGAAAUUGCAUGUGCCAUACAACAUGCUCUUCAGCUGGUUGGAAAACAAAAGUCUUUUUUUCAAGGCCUGGCUGAGUGUUGUGUCAUCUUCCACAUGCACUGUGUGCCCACAGCUGAACGGGAGGCAGAGAGAUGCAAAAAGUAAGCUGACUAGCAGGACUACUUCCUGUCCUCUCCUUACUGUCAUGGGAUUUGCUUUCAAUCCUCACCUUUCAGGUACUAUCGUCAGCCCCAUUUUACAGAUGGGAAAAGCGAGGCAUAGAGAAGUUUACUUGCAGAAUUUCCCAGACAGAGAAGUUCUUCCAUUGGGCUUGCCAGAGGAUUUGAAACAGUGGUGAGCCCUGGAAGGAAGGGAACAUUCAUUGGCCCUUGGACAUUAUCCAGCACAGUAAGACUCACAUCAGGCCGAAGGCAGUGCAGUGUAAACUGACCUGAGUUAAGAAGUUUGCUGUGGGACUCCACUGAGCUACUAAACGAGGAGAAGGACUAACGGGAGCACACUGACUCCAUCACUUUAGAAAUUGUAAUAAACAUUUAGAGAACAACCUCAAA